UUAUAGCCCCGAUUGAACGGCAUGUUUGAGCUCUUUUUCUUUCUUUUUUGGCGGCGGCAAAGCCGCCAAAAAAGAAAGAAAAAAGCGAGUAGUGAAAGCGGGAAUUAGC
rnacentral:misc_RNA from 1 species